CAUAUAAUAUUUCAAAAAAUAUCUAAUAAUAAAAGCUUUUCAUAUACACUGUUACAGUAAAAUAUUUCAAAAACAUCAGUUAAUUCAAACGGUGGAAGUGGGACGAGACAACUUAAUCCCAAUAAACAAAUAAUCAUGGCUCCACCUAAUUUUUUUAGCAAACUGGGCCUAAGGUCCCCAUUUUUCUUUUGGUGUGGAUCUUAAAAUAUACAAUGAGAACCAAAAUAAUUGAUCCCGUCCUUCAGCUUUAUGCGGUUCUGGAUUUUUGUGUCCUGUAGACAUGGCUAAACUAAACAGCCACCCACUUCUGUAACAAAAAGUUAUUCCUAUUUUGGAUUCUAUAUAUAGAAUAAUAAUAAUCACAAGUCCCAUGCACUAAGGGAAUUGUGGAUUUCUUCCCCCCCCCCCCCCCCCAAAAAAAAAAAAAAAGGUGGACUUUUUUUGGGUUCAAUGAGGGCUUUAAAUCGAAUAACGAGGAAAGAAAGUUUGAGAGUUUUGAGUUGGGUUUUAAGAGUUAAAAAAGAGCUGACCCAUAAGCAUACGCAGCUGGACCAUAACAGUUUGCUACAGUAAGAGACUCAUUAAUUCGGUUCAGGUUUGUACGUUGGAUUCAUCUUAUGACUAAACUAUCCAUCCGCAGGCAAUUUGGUUACGUAUUGGCCCAAGAGCAAGCACCUGUUAAGUAACCAUCCACUCGCAAUGCGGAGCUAUUGUGCCUAAUUUACGGUACACUAGUUUUUUCAGCCUCACGCGAUGCGUGAGGAUGCCCUGAGUCUAUGUUAAUCAAGAUCAAAUGAAGGCAAGUGAAUUAAUGUAAAAUGGUUAUAUAUUUAAUACAUGAUAGGUGCUAAUAAAUGUGGGGAAACAAUCUUUCAAGUGAGAGUCGCUAUAGUCCACAUAUUUAGCUCUAGGUGCUCUAAAUGUUACAAAGAAUAGCAUUAUCAUCACUUAGUGGUCAUUAAAAACUGACCAUCAAAUUUUAAU
rnacentral:lncRNA from 1 species